rnacentral:rRNA from 1 species
AUUGAACGCUGGCGGCAGGCUUAACACAUGCAAGUCGAACGAGUGGCGGACGGGUGAGUAAUGUCUGGGAAACUGCCUGAUGGAGGGGGAUAACUACUGGAAACGGUAGCUAAUACCGCGUACCAUUAGAUGUGCCCAGAUGGGAUUAGCUAGUUGGUGGGGUAAAGGCUCACCUAGGCGACGAUCACUAGCUGGUCUGAGAGGAUGACCAGCCACACUGGAACUGAGACACGGCCCAGACGCCUACGGGAGGCAGCAGUGGGGAAGAUUGCACAAUGGGGGCAAGCCUGAUGCAGCCAUGCCGCGUGUAUGAAGAAGGCCUUAGGGUUGUAAAGUACUUUCAGCGGGGAGGCGUUAACUGCAGAAGAAGCACCGGCUAACUCCGUGCCAGCAGCCGCGGUAAUAC